rnacentral:rRNA from 1 species
UACGGAGGGUGCAAGCGUUGUCCGGAAUCACUGGGCGUAAAGGGCGCGUAGGCGGCUCAUGAAGGCUGUGGUGAAAGUCCGGGGCUCAACCUCGGAUCGGCCGUGGCGACUCGUGGGCUGGAGCACUGUAGAGGCGGGUGGAAUUCCGGGUGUAGCGGUGGAAUGCGUAGAGAUCUGGAAGAACACCGGUGGCGAAGGCGGUGGUCUGGGCCAUUACUGACGCUGAGGAGCGAAAGCCAGGGGAGCGAACGGG